CAUGCAGUCGAACGGUGAAGCCUUCGGGUGGAUCAGUGGCGAACGGGUGAGUAACACGUGAGCAACCUGCCCCUGACUCUGGGAUAACUCCGGGAAACCGGGGCUAAUACCGGAUACGACCUCGUGGCGCAUGCCGUGGGGUGGAAAGUUUUUCGGUUGGGGAUGGGCUCGCGGCCUAUCAGCUUGUUGGUGGGGUGAUGGCCUACCAAGGCGACGACGGGUAGCCGGCCUGAGAGGGUGACCGGCCACACUGGGACUGAGACACGGCCCAGACUCCUACGGGAGGCAGCAGUGGGGAAUAUUGCGCAAUGGGCGAAAGCCUGACGCAGCGACGCCGCGUGAGGGAUGAAUGCCUUCGGGUUGUAAACCUCUUUCAGCAGGGAAGAAGCGAAAGUGACGGUACCUGCAGAAGAAGCACCGGCUAACUACGUGCCAGCAGCCGCGGUAAUACGUAGGGUGCAAGCGUUGUCCGGAAUUAUUGGGCGUAAAGAGCUCGUAGGCGGUCUGUCGCGUCUGCUGUGAAAACUCAGGGCUUAACCCUGAGCUUGCAGUGGGUACGGGCAGACUAGAGUGCAGUAGGGGAGACUGGAAUUCCUGGUGUAGCGGUGAAAUGCGCAGAUAUCAGGAGGAACACCGGUGGCGAAGGCGGGUCUCUGGGCUGUAACUGACGCUGAGGAGCGAAAGCGUGGGGAGCGAACAGGAUUAGAUACCCUGGUAGUCCACGCCGUAAACGUUGGGCGCUAGGUGUGGGUCUCAUUCCACGAGGUCUGUGCCGCAGCUAACGCAUUAAGCGCCCCGCCUGGGGAGUACGGCCGCAAGGCUAAAACUCAAAGGAAUUGACGGGGCCCCGCACAAGCGGCGGAGCAUGCGGAUUAAUUCGAUGCAACGCGAAGAACCUUACCAAGGCUUGACAUUCAAGGUAAUCUCCUGGAAACGGGAGGUCCGCAAGGGAUCUUGAACAGGUGGUGCAUGGUUGUCGUCAGCUCGUGUCGUGAGAUGUUGGGUUAAGUCCCGCAACGAGCGCAACCCUCGUUCUAUGUUGCCAGCGCGUGAUGGCGGGGACUCAUAGGAGACUGCCGGGGUCAACUCGGAGGAAGGUGGGGAUGACGUCAAAUCAUCAUGCCCCUUAUGUCUUGGGCUUCACGCAUGCUACAAUGGCCAGUACAAAGGGCUGCGAGACCGCGAGGUGGAGCGAAUCCCAAAAAGCUGGUCUCAGUUCGGAUCGGGGUCUGCAACUCGACCCCGUGAAGUCGGAGUCGCUAGUAAUCGCAGAUCAGCAACGCUGCGGUGAAUACGUUCCCGGGGCUUGUACACACCGCCCGUCACGUCACGAAAGUCGGUAACACCCGAAGCCGAUGGCCCAACCACUUGUG
rnacentral:rRNA from 1 species